CACAGCGUCCCUCUGUGUCAGUGAGUCCCUCUGCUGAGAUGAUGGAGGGUGGUUCAGUGACUCUGAACUGUAGCACUGAUGCUAACCCAGCAGCUAGCUACACCUGGUACAAGGAGCAUGAAGACUCACCACGAGCAUCAGGACAGAUGUUCACCAUCACUGACUUCAGAGCUGAACACAGUGGGAAUUAUUCCUGUGAAGCCCAGAACCAGAUGGGACGUAGUACCUCCACCUUACUUCAGAUUACUUCUUCAGGAAAACGAGGCUCCUCAGUGUCAAUAACAGCAGCUGUUUUGGCAACAUCUGCUGGUUUCUUGGUGAUCUUCAUCAUUGCUGCCAUCCCCAUGUUCCUCUGGAUCAGAAGGAUAAAGUCUGGACAAAGCCGCCGGCCUGGAGAGAGACCAGACGACAAUGAGAUCCAACUGGUCAAAAACAUGUUGAAGAAAGUGCAGAAUUUCUGGUGCCGCCAUUCAAAGGAUAAAGUCUGGAGAAAGCUGCUGGUCUGAGGGGAGAGACCGGAGAACACAGAGGUGCAGAUCCCAAUGUUUAACGAUGGACACCAGGAGGAAGAGAGGAAAGAGAACAUGUACUCCGGCUGUAUCAAAUUUGAGCAGAACUCAAGUGGCAACGUUAGUACUUUUGCUCAGAAGGUGCAUUUCAUUAACAAUCUUCCGUCUGUGCUUUUAUCUUCAUGUUUUCUUGCUGUUUAAACGUGUUCAUUCUUCAUGGUGUGAGUUGACGGUUCUUUCACUGAUGGAGGUGUGAAGGAGCUGUGGAUGAUUCUUCUGCUCUGUACAGCACCGUCAGCAAAGCACCAAGAGAAUGAAGCCACACGGACAUGUGGUGUGUUACUUUACAGAGUUUAAGCAGCUUAAACACACCUGCAUGAAUAUGAGGUUUGACAUGUUGUAUAUUCACCAUCGUUAAGGCUUCCAUCAGAGAACUAUCAGUGAGCCAAUGGGAGGCCAGCUUGCAGUCUGGAAUCAGCCUUUAAAUGUUACGUAUUGGACGUUGAUUCAUUUAAAAAAAAACAAAGAUUGUGACAAUGUUUUAGCAAAGCUAAACCUAUUUCCUUUUAUAUGUUGAUUGUAUUUUAUUUAUUAUUCAGGAUCUGCUAGUUGAUUUGUUACUGAAGAUCACAUUGAGGUAUUGGUGGAAAUCACCACAUGUUCCUCUGGUUUUGGAGCAGAUGUGUAACAGAUGUGUUGUGGCAGAACAUAGAGAUAAUCAAGUAGACCUCAGUGGUGAUUCCCACUGGUAGUAAAGCUCAGUUACAAAAUAAGUGGCACAACCUGAAUUAUAGUUCUAUUUUUUUAACAAAAUGUGUAUUUUAAACAGUCAUGUAUCUUUAAAAAUACAAAUGUUUUAAAUACAAAGAGCUGCAAGCUACAAAAUAUUUUCUAUGUAAGUUCAGAUGCUUUAAAACUUUUUUGUGUGUGCUAUGCUUCAUAAAUUGUUUGCAGAGUCUAUUGCAUUGUAAAAUUAAUGAUUUUAAUUCAAUUCAAUAUUGGAUGAGUCUUUUAUUCUAUGUAGUAAGCAGCUGUAAUGUUAAAAUAUGUUAGAACAUAGUCUUGUACUAAGAGUGAUUAUUGUAUGUAUUGAAGAAAGGGGGGAUUCAAAAGGGCAGCUGUGUGAAGGGGGCAGUCAAGCAGGCUUUCACACGUAUGCUCAACAAAUGAACUGUUACCUUGGUUCAUUUCUCACUUAAUUUGUAAGUUUUCAUAUCCGCUAUCUCACAGAUGGUUUAGGGUUCUGCGCCUCUCAUGGCGACCUGCCACUAGAAAUGACCUUCAUGUGGGUAUAACAACUCAGCAUUUUCACUUCUCGAAGACGCCAUCUCCACAGAGCAUCAUGAUACCAGCUUGUGUAUUUGACCUCUGUAAUUGCAAAAAUAUAUGUAACUCUUCUAAAUGCUUCAUUUGUAUAACCAGUUUAUUAAUUGCAAGUGCUGAGAUGGAAAGGCCAUGGUAUGAGAGCUGAAGUGUGGGUCGUAUGUGUGUAACCAGAUUUGGAGUUAGGAGGGCGAGUCCAUGGUCAAAGAACUGAUGUGUCUUACAUGGACUAGCUGUCCUGAGUAUCCUGACUGUAGAGACUCAACAAGGUGGUCAAGGUUGUUGACGCCACAGAUAACUGAACUUGUGUAUAAGAACUGCCUCGUUCUGUUAGGGGGGGCAAGAAGGUUCAUGACAGUCUGCAGAGCAUGCAGCUGUUGUGACCUUUCUUCCCUUGCAAGGAAAUAAAUGGAGA